CCUCCUUCAGCUCUCCUGAAUCACAUAGGCCCAGUGUGUACUUGGUAUGUUUUAAUGGAGAACGGAGAAGGUCCUCCUCAUGCAUGGCAGACCUGCCCAAAGGAGCUUCUCUGCUUCUAGGAGUCUGGCAGCU